rnacentral:rRNA from 1 species
UGAGGAAUAUUGCGCAAUGGGCGAAAGCCUGACGCAGCGACGCCGCGUGGAGGACGAAGGUCUUCGGAUCGUAAACUCCUGUCGAGCGGGACGAAGCCGGGGCGGUGAAUAGCCGCUUCGGUUGACGGUACCGCUAAAGGAAGCCCCGGCUAACUCCGUGCCAGCAGCCGCGGUAAUACGGAGGGGGCCAGCGUUGUUCGGAAUCAUUGGGCGUAAAGGGCGCGUAGGCGGCUUGGUAAGUCCGUUGUGAAAUCCCUCGGCUCAACCGAGGAACUGCGACGGAUACUGCUUGGCUUGAGUCCCGGAGAGGGUAGCGGAAUUCCCAGUGUAGCGGUGAAAUGCGUAGAUAUUGGGAGGAACAUCGGUGGCGAAGGCGGCUACCUGGACGGGUACUGACGCUGAGGCGCGAAAGCUAGGGGAGCAAACAGGAUUAGAUACCCUGGUAGUCCUAGCUGUAAACGAUGGGCACUUGGUGUUGCGGGUAUCGACCCCUGCAGUGCCGAAGCUAACG